UCGAACGCGAAAGGGUCCUUCGGGACCCCGGUAGAGUGGCGCACGGGUGAGUAACACGUGGGUAAUCUGCCUUUGGGUGGGGAAUAACGUCCCGAAAGGGACGCUAAUACCGCAUAAUGCAGCGGCACCGCGAGGUGACAGUUGUUAAAGCGGGGGAUCGCAAGACCUCGCGCCUGAAGAGGAGCCCGCGCCCGAUUAGCUAGUUGGUGAGGUAAGGGCUCACCAAGGCGACGAUCGGUAGCCGGCCUGAGAGGGCGGACGGCCACACUGGCACUGAGACACGGGCCAGACUCCUACGGGAGGCAGCAGUGGGGAAUUUUGGGCAAUGGGGGAAACCCUGACCCAGCAACGCCGCGUGAAGGACGAAAUCCCUCUGGGAUGUAAACUUCGAAAGUUCGGGAAGAAAUCCUACGGAAGAAUAUGCCGUAGGGAUGACGGUACCGAACGUAAGCCCCGGCUAACUACGUGCCAGCAGCCGCGGUAAUACGUAGGGGGCAAGCGUUG
rnacentral:rRNA from 1 species